rnacentral:sRNA from 1 species
AGCUGCACCGGGUCGACGCCGCGGGUCACCACCAGGUAGUCACGCAUCGCCACCCCGUGACGGUUCUC